GUGGGUAUAGCUCAAUUGGUAGAGUGCAUGCUUAGCAUGCUUAAGGUCUUGAGUUCAAUCCUCAGUACCUCCC
rnacentral:tRNA from 1 species